AUUGAACGCUGGCGGCAGGCCUAACACAUGCAAGUCGGGCGCGCGGCGGACGGGUGAGUAAUGUAUGGGGAACUGCCUGAUGGCGGGGGAUAACUACUGGAAACGGUAGCUAAUACCGCAUACCAUCAGAUGAACCCAUAUGGGAUUAGCGAGUCGGUGAGGUAACGGCUUACCUAGGCGACGACCCCUAGCUGGUCUGAGAGGAUGAUCAGCCACGCUGGAGCCGACACAUGGACCAGGCUCCUACGUGAGGCCUCAGUGGUGAAUAUUGCACACUGGGCGCGAGCCGGAUGCAGCCAUGCGGCGUGUAUGAAGAAGGCCUUAGGGUUGUAAAGUACUUGCAGCGGGGAGGCGUUACCCGCAGAAGAAGCACCGGCUAACUCCGUGCCAGCAGCCGCGGUAAUUC
rnacentral:rRNA from 1 species